UGUUGUCGAGUGGACGUUCAGUACAAUAACUUGAAUAUGAAUUGCAUUAAUAUUUGUCCGGAUUACAACUUGUUCACAUGUCCUCCUGCAUGUAGACCUUCUGUGGAUUUAUAGAUAUCUGGUGCUGUGGUUUGUUUUUACCUGCUACGGACUCACCAAGUCUUACAAAUAUGUUGUCUACGCACAUAAUGUAAAAUUGUUAUAAGUUGACCGUAAGGUCUCCUCGUGUGUUUGACAGCUACUAGGGAGCAACCGGGCUGUUUAUGUUGUCAGUAGGGAGGUUUGGUGGUCUACCCUACUUAUUUACUUGCCUUGUUACGUGAUGGAAAUCUCAAUCAAAGUGAAACUUUACUAGUCAUCGCUACUCUACGCUUAAACAUUUUAAUAAUUAAAUGUAUAUGGACAGGUUAUAGAGUGAUGUUUGGUGCUGUUUCGUCCAUGUAGCUUAAAUUGGUUAUGACCGAUUGGAUCAGGUAACCCUAGCCUAGCCCUUAGCUGUUCUUUUCAGGCUGCAUGAGGGAAGAACUUAUUUCACCAACUCACUGGCUACAUCAUGCAACAUGUUGAGUCCCAGUGAAACCUUGUGUCGCUGGGUGUUCCUGCAUGGUUGCUGCUGUGUGUCAGCAUUUAACAUGUUCUAAAAGGAAUACAUUUCUAUUUACUAUAGGGGUUGGAUCAGGAUUAAGGAAGCACUUUGACCACCACUGUUGAGUCUGCCAUUCAGAAACCCAGGGAUUCCCGCCAGUGGUUGCCACGACAACCCCUUAGUCCGUCUGUUGUGUUCGUUGUUCUGCACUUUCCCACCAUUCCGAAAACGUUAACAUUACAGGAUGUGAUGUCAUCGUACACCUGUUGCUGUUCGCAGUGUCUCAUGUCGUUGGACAGAUGUUAGUGAAGAAACGAUUUAUAACGAUCUUAUAUGUUUCUCAGAACAUCAGCAACGACUAUGAUAAACAGA